GAUUGCUCUUUCUUUUUAUGCGAACCAUUCUUGAUAAUUUUAGACAACCUGAGAUAUUCUGAAAAUUUGAUGGAUCAGGCUCUAAUAAAUUGUAGAAAACACUUGUGAACUUGAGUAGUGCACCUAAAACUCAGGCGGUGCCCUGUUGUGAUUGUUAGAUGUAUGCCCUAGAAGCCAAUUUGGCUGACACAUUGUUGAUUCUAGGGACAUAAUUUUGUACUUGACUAUUUAUUAUUGAAUAAAUAAAAGGCAUCUUUUUCAUUCAUAUUGUUUACGUGUCUAUGAAUCGUCCAAGAAAUUAAUAAGAUGAUGAUACAUAUUCUCAAGAGUUGAGAAUUUGAGCCAUGUAUCAUUUGUGAUUAAUUUCUAAAUGCUCCUGAUCAAAGGAUCAUCACGAGGACGGUGAUCGAUCCGAUCAGUGCACAGAUCACU
rnacentral:lncRNA from 1 species